GAUGAACGCUGGCGGCGUGCCUAAUACAUGCAAGUCGAGCGAACGGACGAGAAGCUUGCUUCUCUGAUGUUAGCGGCGGACGGGUGAGUAACACGUGGAUAGCCUACCUAUAAGACUGGGAUAACUUCGGGAAACCGGAGCUAAUACCGGAUAAUAUUUUGAACCGCAUGGUUCAAAAGUGAAAGACGGUCUUGCUGUCACUUAUAGAUGGAUCCGCGCUGCAUUAUCUAGUUGGUAAGGUAACGGCUUACCAAGGCAACGAUGCAUAGCCGACCUGAGAGGGUGAUCGGCCACACUGGAACUGAGACACGGUCCAGACUCCUACGGGAGGCAGCAGUAGGGAAUCUUCCGCAAUGGGCGAAAGCCUGACGGAGCAACGCCGCGUGAGUGAUGAAGGUCUUCGGAUCGUAAAACUCUGUUAUUAGGGAAGAACAUAUGUGUAAGUAACUGUGCACAUCUUGACGGUACCUAAUCAGAAAGCCACGGCUAACUACGUG
rnacentral:rRNA from 1 species